UACAGAGGUGGCAAGCGUUGUUCGGAAUUACUGGGCGUAAAGGGUUCGUAGGUGGCUUGCUAAGUCAGACGUGAAAUCCCUCAGCUUAACUGGGGAACUGCGUCUGAGACUGGCAAGCUUGAGUGCAGGAGAGGAAUGCGGAAUUCCAGGUGUAGCGGUGAAAUGCGUAGAUAUCAGGAGGAACACCGGUGGCGAAGGCGGGUCUCUGGGCCGAUAUUGACGCUGAGGCGCGAAAGCCAGGGGAGCGAACGGG
rnacentral:rRNA from 1 species